rnacentral:lncRNA from 1 species
GAUUUGGAGUGCUGGAGCGAAGAAGAGCAAAAGCUGCGUUCUGCGCGCGCCCGACUCCGCUGCCCGCCCCGCCAGGCCUCCGGGAGGUGGGGGCUGGGAGGCGUCCCCCGCUCCCGCCCCCUCCCCACCGUUCAAUGAAAGAUGAACUGGCGAGAGAAAGCGUUUGAUUUAUGAGCGUAGGACGAAUCGCAUCCAGGAGCUGCGCAGCCCUGGCCGCUGCCGGGACGCCCUGCUCCGCGCUGAGCUUGGGGCCAGAAACCAGCCAUAGUCCCCACACUCCGCCGCCGCAGCUGAGAUUUAGCGGAGGAAGGGGCGAGGGAAGGUAGGGAGCAAACCUAUGAAGAAACAUCGCGUUGUCAUUGGAACUUCCAAGCCUUUGCUGUUAAGAGCCAGGUUCUUAAAUCAACCCGCCCCACACACAUGUUGCUUACAUGCUGCGUUUUCUCACGGUCUGUUUUGCCUGAACCCAUCAACAGCUGGGAGAUUAAUCAACCACACUGAAAAUGUGGAGGGAUUUAUGGGGGAGGGGGUUGAAAUGUGGGUGUUUGAAACAAAAGUGUAUAAACAAAUGAAUUGUUGAUAACUUAGUUAUUGACCUGGAGACUGGUAGCUUAUUAAAGAAACUCCGUGUUACUCA